rnacentral:rRNA from 1 species
GACGAACGCUGGCGGCGUGCCUAAUACAUGCAAGUUGAGCGCUGAAGGUUGGUACUUGUACCGACUGGAUGAGCAGCGAACGGGUGAGUAACGCGUGGGGAAUCUGCCUUUGAGCGGGGGACAACAUUUGGAAACGAAUGCUAAUACCGCAUAAAAACUUUAAACACAAGUUUUAAGUUUGAAAGAUGCAAUUGCAUCACUCAAAGAUGAUCCCGCGUUGUAUUAGCUAGUUGGUGAGGUAAAGGCUCACCAAGGCGAUGAUACAUAGCCGACCUGAGAGGGUGAUCGGCCACAUUGGGACUGAGACACGGCCCAAACUCCUACGGGAGGCAGCAGUAGGGAAUCUUCGGCAAUGGACGAAAGUCUGACCGAGCAACGCCGCGUGAGUGAAGAAGGGUUUCGGAUCGUAAAACUCUGUUGGUAGAGAAGGACGUUGGUGAGAGUGGAAAGCUCAUCAAGUGACGGUAACUACACAGAAAGGGACGGCUAACUACGUG